rnacentral:tRNA from 1 species
GGUUUUGUAGUGAAAUUCAUGUUGAGUUGCAAGCUCAUUGAUGUACGUUUAGGCGUACCAAGACCU